UUCGCAAUGCCCGAAAGGGUGACGAAGCGACGCCGCGUGGGUGAGGAAGGCCUUCGGGUUGUAUAGCCCUGUCAGGAGUUAAGAAAUGUAGACUCGCUAAUAUCGGGUCUAUUUGACAAAGGCUCCAAAGGAAGCCACGGCUAACUCUGUGCCAGCAGCCGCGGUAAUACAGAGGUGGCAAGCGUUGUUCGGAAUUAUUGGGCGUAAAGAGCGCGUAGGUGGAUUUGUAAGUCAGACGUGAAAGCCUUCUGUUCAACGGAGGAAUUGCAUCUGAAACUACAAACCUUGAGUGUAGGAGGGGAGAAUGGAACUUCUGGUGGAGCGGUGAAAUGCGUAGAUAUCGGAAGGAACGCCGGCGGCAAAAGCGAUUCUCUGGCCUAUUACUGACACUCAGUGUGCGGAAGCUAGGGGAGCAAACGGGAUUAGAUACCCCGGUAGUCCUAGCCGUAAACGAUGGGCACUAAGUAGAGGGGUUUU
rnacentral:rRNA from 1 species